GUGGGGAAUUUUGGACAAUGGGCGCAAGCCUGAUCCAGCAAUGCCGCGUGCAGGAAGAAGGCCUUCGGGUUGUAAACUGCUUUUGUACGGAACGAAACGGUCCGGGUUAAUACCCUGGGCUAAUGACGGUACCGUAAGAAUAAGCACCGGCUAACUACGUGCCAGCAGUCGCGGUAAUACGUAGGGUGCAAGCGUUAAUCGGAAUUACUGGGCGUAAAGCGUGCGCAGGCGGUUUUGUAAGACAGGCGUGAAAUCCCCGGGCUCAACCUGGGAAUUGCGCUUGUGACUGCAAGGCUGGAGUGCGGCAGAGGGGGAUGGAAUUCCGCGUGUAGCAGUGAAAUGCGUAGAUAUGCGGAGGAACACCGAUGGCGAAGGCAAUCCCCUGGACCUGUACUGACGCUCAUGCACGAAAGCGUGGGGAGCAAACAGGAUUAGAAACCCCGGUAGUCC
rnacentral:rRNA from 1 species